GAUGAACGCUGGCGGCGUGCCUAAUACAUGCAAGUCGAGCGAACAGACGAGGAGCUUGCUCCUCUGACGUUAGCGGCGGACGGGUGAGUAACACGUGGAUAACCUACCUAUAAGACUGGGAUAACUUCGGGAAACCGGAGCUAAUACCGGAUAAUAUAUUGAACCGCAUGGUUCAAUAGUGAAAGACGGUUUUGCUGUCACUUAUAGAUGGAUCCGCGCCGCAUUAGCUAGUUGGUAAGGUAACGGCUUACCAAGGCAACGAUGCGUAGCCGACCUGAGAGGGUGAUCGGCCACACUGGAACUGAGACACGGUCCAGACUCCUACGGGAGGCAGCAGUAGGGAAUCUUCCGCAAAGGGCUAAAGCUUGACGGAGCAACGCCGCGUGAGUGAUGAAGGUCUUCGGAUCGUAAAACUCUGUUAUUAGGGAAGAACAAAUGUGUAAGUAACUAUGCACGUCUUGACGGUACCUAAUCAGAAAGCCACGGCUAACUACGUG
rnacentral:rRNA from 1 species